CUCAAAAAAAGAGUCUGGUAUAUAUGAUGUAAGGGAGGGGGGACAGAAAGGCACGAGAAAGGGCCACAAGGAAGUAAGAGUAGAGUUAGAAGAAAUGAGAGAAGAGUCUAGCCAAACUAAAAGAGAAAACUAAUAUAAUCUCUCUGCAGAAUGCUGCAAAGCAACAUCGUCUAGAUCUAAAACAUAAGAUCAAGCCGAAGUUGGUUUGCUGCACUCUGCUGGGAGAUUAGAUUAGUUUCCUCUUUUAGUUUGGCAGCCUCUUCUCUUGUUUCCUCAAACUUUUCUCUUACUUCCUUUUGUCCCUCUCUUAUGCCUUUUUGUCCCUCGCUAAUCUCACCCAUCUCAGAUUUUAUGUGUCAAUAUAGGUCAAUAUUGAUCGAGGAAUGACCCUCGCAAAAUAUACCAGACUCUUUCUUGAGUUGCUCCAUCAUGUUACUUUGUUCACCAGAGAGUAUAAAGCUUUAAAAUAGAAUGGUUAUUUUCCUGACACCAGCCUGUCAUCUUGGUUCUGAAGCUGAAGUUCCAUUUCCAUCUUCAACGAAUCACUAAUUUAUCAGGAAUUGUGAUUUUCUUUGAAGUCAAAAUAAUCAAAGAACAAUAAGAGGUGUUUGUUCUGAUGGAACGGAAAGUGAAAAUGCAAAAGCAGGGGAGAAAAGAAGAAGAUUUUUUUCUGUACACGGAAUGGUCGAGAAGAAAGAGAAUGGGAUCUGGGAAAAGGACACCGCAGAGGUACAGUUCCUGGGCCCUUUUCGCUGCGAAUCUAUGGUCAACCCCUCCCAGCUGUUCGCUCAACAAGUGAUAAAAAUAUGCUCUACUUGUUUGGAAAGCCUAAAAGCAAGCGAGGAAGCAGUCCAAGUAGGGCUGCCGAUAGCAACAAGCGACAAAUGAUCCACAAAGAAACCAAAAAUCCUACUGGUUUAACACGUGACUGUCACACAUCUUCAUCUUGUCAUAUUUUGGACCUUACAUUGUGUGAUCUUCCACCAGGUAGUUGAAUUAAGAAUAAACUUUUUUAUUUAUUUCCGACCAUUAUACAAAUGAAUAGUACAAUGAGUUGUUUCCUUGUUA